rnacentral:rRNA from 1 species
GCCAGCCCGCUCAGAAACUUAAAGGAAGUUGACGGGGCCCGGCACAAGCGGUGGAGCAUGUGGUUUAAUUCGAUGAUACGCGAGGAACCUUACCUGGGCUCAAAUGUAUGUUGACGUAUUCUGAAAGGGAUACUUCUUCGGACAAUAUACAAGGUGCUGCAUGGUUGUCGUCAGCUCGUGCCGUGAGGUGUCGGGUUAAGUCCCAUAACGAGCGCAACCCCUAUCAUUAGUUGCCAUCAGGUCAAGCUGGGGACUCUAAUGAAACUGCCUACGCAAGUAGUGAGGAAGGUGGGGAUGACGUCAAAUCAGCACGGCCCUUACGGCCUGGGCUACACACGUGCUACAAUGGUCGGUACAAAGGGUUGCCAAGCCGCGAGGUGGAGCUAAUCCCAUAAAACCGAUCGUAGUCCGGAUCGCAGUCUGCAACUCGACUGCGUGAAGUCGGAAUCGCUAGUAAUCGUGAAUCAGAAUGUCACGGUGAAUACGUUCCCGGGCCUU